CUGAUGUGUUGAGUGGGCAGACUUUUAAGAAUUGGGCUAUAGGAUUACGUAUGAAAGAACUUACAGUUUAGCCCAAUUUAAUUUUACUUUGCCAGGAAAACGACACUUCACUUUCUUUUUGCCUCACUUUUACUCACUAAUCAAAAGUAAUUGCAUUUUAGUGAUAAUAUCAUUCUUGUUUGUACUUUGUUAUUCACAAGUCCUGGCUCCUCUAAUCUUUGGGGUCUGUAGCUGUUGGUUUGCUUUUCCUGGUCUGCUUGGAAAACAAUGGUUUGCAGUUUAUCUGCUUUUAAAAUCAAUCACUAAAUAAAAAUGACAAUAAUGGCUGGAAGUGAAGGUCACAUGUGUUUAGAACUGUUGUUUAUGGUGAAAAAUGGGGCUUGUUCCUAGAACUGGAAAUAAUAAUUUACCUAGAAGAGGAGAGUGGAAGGAGAAACCCCUUUCUUUUCUGAGAGCUAAUUCUACAUUAUAGUUUUAAAAUUACAUUUGCAAGAAAUGUGGAAUAAGGGGGGGUGGCAGUUAGAUGUCAUUAUCCAGAAAAAAAAAAUGUUUGGAAGAGAGUUAACCUCACAUACUUUUCAUUUGAGAUGUUUUAAUUUAUUGUGCAAUAUACACAUAGAUAAAUCAAGCUGUGAUGGGCUUCCAGUUGCACCGGACGGCUCAGGUCCCCUUAAAUUACGAUCAGCCUCUUCAAAACAUAUAUUUAAACAAUAGAAAUAAACUUCAUUGGAAUCUAGCGACCAAUUUGGAAGCCACUGGAAGAGAAGACAAUAAGACCUGAUUACACGCAAGGAUUCUCUGUGAUGUGAUAUCCCUUUUGCCAAGUCAUUUUGCUGUUUUAUUUAUUUAAUUUCUUUUUUUUUUUUAAACAAACUUUCAUUCAUUUAUGGUCUUCCGCAACCUGCUAAUUUAACACUGGAGCGCGUUAUUGCAGUGUUAGGAGGAGAGAAAGAGAGAGAGAAAACAACAAUACUGCAAUGAUCCAAAUGAUACAGUAGAAUUAUAGCAAUUAUAGUUCUACUUGUGGAAGAAAACCUUGCUGAGAUCAGGCAAACAAACUGAAGCCUUGUGAGGAUAACAAGCGUCGGGAUUGACAGCCGGUGCUGGGAAGAGCCGGAGGGCACAAACAGAAAUAUUUGCUUCCCCCCACCCCCCCUUAACUCCAACCAGUCAAGGUUAACCUCCUCAAACGCUGCUUUCAGAGUCUUAUCCACUUCAGGGUAUGCAUUUUAUGCACAAAUCGAGGUGUCUCCUCCUGGAAGUCUGGUAAUAGGAGGAAGUGUAACAUAAUCCGCUUGCCUAGAACUUGCCCCUCGCCUUCUUGGCCUCCUGCGUGCUCUCCACUUCCUACCCUGCCUCAGUUCUCCCCACGGCUGUUGGGAUCUCUCUGUGGACGGUGUUUAUUUGUUGAUGUAUUUUCAAAGAAACAGCCCGUGGAAAGGUCCAAAGGGACUGAUAGAACUUGGAUUUCCUGGGAAGACUCUGUCGCGUUUGCUAAUCCUUCCCUCUUCGCCGUGUCCUCCUCCUAAGCCGUGGGUUCCACAGUUAGGGCUUGGCUGGGAGAGGUUUGUUGGGAAGCAGCUUUUUUGGAAGCCUCCCGAGGACCACGGCCGAGCCCUCAAGGUCAUCUCUUGGUGAGGCUCUGCAGUUCGUAAAGUGGCGAUUUGGCCUCUGUCAUGCUGAUGCUGGAGGCAGCCAGGCCCCAGAGCCUCUCCUGGCGGGCAUCCUGAAUGCCAGAAGCUUAGGCACAACUUCAGGGAAGAAAACAUUUUGGAAAUGACGAGAAAACUGUGAGGGAGUUGCAACUGUAAACAGCAAAUGUGCUAAAGACCAGAGACUUAUGCAGAGCUAAAAGAGGGCAGGUGGAGCUGUUCUCAGUUUUUUACAUGUGAAGAAAACAUUGGGCUGACUCCAUUCUGGUUCCGCAGAGCUAAAAUGUGCCUUGAUGACUGUUGUUGUUUUAUUUAACACAAGCACCCGGGGCUGCGUGAGGAUCAGGGCUUGAUGAGCCAAAGGAUUCUGAGAAAAAAGGUGAACAGCUGUGGUUCUUGUCAAACACAAACUCUUAAUCGUUGCUUAAUCAUUCCCCCAUAUUAGACAUUUGUGUUAUUUUAAUUGUUUGCUAUCGCAAAUAGCAUUGUAAUGAAAACCUUUGGGCACCUAACUUAUUCUUUUGCAUUAUUUCCUUUACAUAAUUUCCUGAGAGUGGGAUUACUGAUUAAAGCGUAUGAACAUUUUAGUCUCUUGAAAUAUUGCCAAAAUGUCUCCAACUGGUUGAACCAAUUGACACUACCUUUACAUGAAUGUACCAAUUUUGCUACAACCUUGCCAGCAUUAUGUAUUACAGCUUCCCCCUGCCACCCCCGCCUCAAAAUAUGGUGAUUUAAAAAACUCUAUACUUGACUCUAGUUCUCCUAACUCUAUGCUCGGUAUCUUCCCCCUCACUCCAGCAUCUCUAUCUCUUGCCUGUCUGAAUGGCUUGAACUAAGACGACAAGAAUACAUGAGAAGAAAGGUAAUCCUGGCCGGGCACGGUGGCUCACACCUGUAAGGCGGGUGGAUCACCUGAGGUCAGGAGUUCGAGACCAGCCUGGUUAACAUGGUGAAACCCCAUCUCUACUAAAAAAAUACAAACAAUUAGCCAGGUGUGGUGGCGGGCGCCUUGAUUCCAGCUACUCGGGAGGCUGAGGCAGGAGAAUCAC
rnacentral:lncRNA from 1 species